rnacentral:sRNA from 1 species
CUUCCUGCUGUGACGGAUUUUCACCUGGAGGAAGAAAGGAGGCUUUUUUAUGUUGGAAUGACAAGGGCUAAAGAAAAGCUUUAUUUUACAGCUGCAGAUUA